UUUUCACUGCUGCAGCAGCCAGGGGAGGUGCAAUUGGGAUUUUUUUUAAAUCCACUGCUGAGGGAGGCAGGGGAGUGCUGGAAUUUUACAUUUGGGGACUGCUUCAGUUCCGUUGGAGGAGACCGGUGCAUGGUGGAAUAUUGGGUUGGGGGAUCACACCAUUGGGGGAGCAGACCCAACGGGUCUGCACUUGGUCUAGUUUAUUCAUAAAUCU